rnacentral:rRNA from 1 species
UACGGAGGGUGCAAGCGUUGUCCGGAUUUAUUGGGUUUAAAGGGUGCGUAGGCGGCCUAAUAAGUCAGUGGUGAAAUCUCCGGGCUUAACCCGGAAACUGCCAUUGAUACUAUUGGUCUUGAAUACUUUGGAGGUAAGCGGAAUAUGUCAUGUAGCGGUGAAAUGCUUAGAUAUGACAUAGAACACCAAUUGCGAAGGCAGCCUCCUGGGCCAACACUGACGCUCAUGCACGAAAGCGUGGGGAGCAAACAGG